rnacentral:rRNA from 1 species
AGAGUUUGAUCAUGGCUCAGAACGUACGCUGGCGGCACGCCUAACACAUGCAAGUCGAGCGGGGUAGCAAUACCUAGCGGCAGACGGGUGCGUAACAUGUGGGAAUCUGCCUUUUGGUUCGGAACAACAUGGGGAAACCUGUGCUAAUACCGGAUAAGUCCUAACGGAGAAAGUUUUAAUGCCAAAAGAUGAGCCCGCAUUUGAUUAGCUUGUUGGUGAGGUAAAAGCUCACCAAGGCUAUAAUCAAUAGCUGAUUUGAGAGGAUGAUCAGCCACACUGGGACUGAGACACGGCCCAGACUCCUACGGGAGGCAGCAGUGGGGAAUCUUGCACAAUGGGGGAAACCCUGAUGCAGCGAUGCCGCGUGAGUGAAGAAGGCCUUUGGGUUGUAAAGCUCUUUUGUCGGGAAAGAUAAUGACUGUACCCGAAGAAUAAGGUCCGGCUAACUUCGUGCCAGCAGCCGCGGUAAUACGAAGGGACCUAGCGUAGUUCGGAAUUACUGGGCGUAAAGAGUAUGUAGGCGGCUAGAUAAGUUAAUUGUGAAAGCCCAAAGCUUAACUUUGGAACUGCAAUUAAAACUAUUUAGCUGGAGUAUGAUAGAGGAAAGCGGAAUACAUAGUGUAGAGGUGAAAUUCGUAGAUAUUAUGUAGAACACCAGUUGCGAAGGCGGCUUUCUGGAUCAUUACUGACGCUGAGAUACGAAAGUAUGGGUAGCGAAGAGGAUUAGAUACCCUCGUAGUCCAUACCAUAAACGAUGAUUAUUAAAUGUGGGGAAUUAUUUCUCUGUAUUAUAGCUAACGCGUUAAAUAAUCCGCCUGGGGAGUACGACCGCAAGGUUAAAACUCAAAUGAAUUGACGGGGACCCGCACAAGCGGUGGAGCAUGU